UGCAGUCGAACGAGUUCUGAUUAUUGAAAGGUGCUUGCAUCUUGAUUUAAUUUUGAACGAGUGGCGGACGGGUGAGUAACACGUGGGUAACCUGCCCUUAAGUGGGGGAUAACAUUUGGAAACAGAUGCUAAUACCGCAUAAAUCCAAGAACCGCAUGGUUCUUGGCUGAAAGAUGGCGUAAGCUAUCGCUUUUGGAUGGACCCGCGGCGUAUUAGCUAGUUGGUGAGGUAACGGCUCACCAAGGCAAUGAUACGUAGCCGAACUGAGAGGUUGAUCGGCCACAUUGGGACUGAGACACGGCCCAAACUCCUACGGGAGGCAGCAGUAGGGAAUCUUCCACAAUGGACGCAAGUCUGAUGGAGCAACGCCGCGUGAGUGAAGAAGGCUUUCGGGUCGUAAAACUCUGUUGUUGGAGAAGAAUGGUCGGCAGAGUAACUGUUGUCGGCGUGACGGUAUCCAACCAGAAAGCCACGGCUAACUACGUGCCAGCAGCCGCGGUAAUACGUAGGUGGCAAGCGUUAUCCGGAUUUAUUGGGCGUAAAGCGAGCGCAGGCGGUUUUUUAAGUCUGAUGUGAAAGCCCUCGGCUUAACCGAGGAAGUGCAUCGGAAACUGGGAAACUUGAGUGCAGAAGAGGACAGUGGAACUCCAUGUGUAGCGGUGAAAUGCGUAGAUAUAUGGAAGAACACCAGUGGCGAAGGCGGCUGUCUGGUCUGUAACUGACGCUGAGGCUCGAAAGCAUGGGUAGCGAACAGGAUUAGAUACCCUGGUAGUCCAUGCCGUAAACGAUGAAUGCUAGGUGUUGGAGGGUUUCCGCCCUUCAGUGCCGCAGCUAACGCAUUAAGCAUUCCGCCUGGGGAGUACGACCGCAAGGUUGAAACUCAAAGGAAUUGACGGGGGCCCGCACAAGCGGUGGAGCAUGUGGUUUAAUUCGAAGCAACGCGAAGAACCUUACCAGGUCUUGACAUCUUUUGAUCACCUGAGAGAUCAGGUUUCCCCUUCGGGGGCAAAAUGACAGGUGGUGCAUGGUUGUCGUCAGCUCGUGUCGUGAGAUGUUGGGUUAAGUCCCGCAACGAGCGCAACCCUUAUGACUAGUUGCCAGCAUUUAGUUGGGCACUCUAGUAAGACUGCCGGUGACAAACCGGAGGAAGGUGGGGAUGACGUCAAAUCAUCAUGCCCCUUAUGACCUGGGCUACACACGUGCUACAAUGGAUGGUACAACGAGUUGCGAGACCGCGAGGUCAAGCUAAUCUCUUAAAGCCAUUCUCAGUUCGGACUGUAGGCUGCAACUCGCCUACACGAAGUCGGAAUCGCUAGUAAUCGCGGAUCAGCACGCCGCGGUGAAUACGUUCCCGGGCCUUGUACACACCGCCCGUCACACCAUGAGAGUUUGUAACACCCGAAGCCGGUGGCGUAACCCUUUUAGGGAGCGAGCCGUCUA
rnacentral:rRNA from 1 species